UACGGAGGGUGCGAGCGUUGUCCGGAAUCACUGGGCGUAAAGGGCGCGUAGGCGGCGCGGGCAGUCAACGGUGAAAGCUUGGGGCUCAACCCCGAGUCGGCCGUCGAUACUCCCGGGCUUGAGCACUGUAGAGGCAGGUGGAAUUCCGGGUGUAGCGGUGGAAUGCGUAGAGAUCCGGAAGAACACCCGUGGCGAAAGCGGCUCUCUGGAACGGUACUGACGCUGAGACGCGAAAGCGUGGGGAGCGAACAGG
rnacentral:rRNA from 1 species